rnacentral:rRNA from 1 species
GAGUUUGAUCUUGGCUCAGGACGAACGCUGGCGGCGCGCCUAACACAUGCAAGUCGAACGGAGCAUUGAGAGCUUGCUUUUAAUGCUUAGUGGCGAACGGGUGAGUAACGCGUGAGUAACCUGCCCUUGAGUGGGGGACAACAGUUGGAAACGACUGCUAAUACCGCAUAAGACCACAGAGCCGCAUGGCUCAGAGGUAAAAGGAUUUAUUCGCUCAAGGAUGGACUCGCGUCCAAUUAGCUAGUUGGUGAGGUAACGGCCCACCAAGGCGACGAUUGGUAGCCGGACUGAGAGGUUGAUCGGCCACAUUGGGACUGAGACACGGCCCAGACUCCUACGGGAGGCAGCAGUGGGGGAUAUUGCACAAUGGGGGAAACCCUGAUGCAGCGACGCCGCGUGAAGG